GACGAACGCUGGCGGCGUGCUUAACACAUGCAAGUCGAGCGGUAAGGCCCUUUCGGGGGUACACGAGCGGCGAACGGGUGAGUAACACGUGGGUGACCUGCCUCUAGCUCUGGGAUAAGCCUGGGAAGCUGGGUCUAAUACCGGAUAUGACCUCGCGGUGCAUGUUGCGGGGUGGAAAGCCUUGUGCGGCUAGGGAUGGGCCCGCGGCCUAUCAGCUUGUUGGUGGGGUGAGGCCUACCAAGGCGACGACGGGUAGCCGGCCUGAGAGGGAGACCGGCCACACUGGGACUGAGACACGGCCCAGACUCCUACGGGAGGCAGCAGUGGGGAAUCUUGCGCAA
rnacentral:rRNA from 1 species